CUUUGCAAUGAGUGCUAGAGUGUAGAGCAUAAUUUAUGGCACUUGGAGCUUGAGCAUGGGAUGUGUGUGCAGGCAGAGAUUGCCAAAGAAGAGAUGGAUACAGACACACACAGGUGGAAGAAAAAGACACAUGAGGAGAGACUAGGAAGGACACAGUGAACUCCAGGAGGAAGAUGCUUGCUGGGACCACUCCUCUCCAGUCUCCACCCAGACCUCCUCCCCUCCUGCAGCACACAGUGUGCAACAAAGAACAAAGACCCUCUCACUGA